UGAGGUUAAGUUAACAAGGGCGCAUGGUGAAUGCCUUGGCACUAGGAGCCGAUGAAGGACGGGACUAACACCGAUAUGCUUCGGGGAGCUGUACGUAAGCUAUGAUCCGGAGAUUUCCGAAUGGGGCAACCCAGCAGUUUUAAUCAACUGUUACCACUAGAUGAAUUCAUAGUCUAGUUGGAGGUAAACGCUGUGAACUGAAACAUCUCAUUAGCAGCAGGAAUAUAAAGAAAUUUCGAUUCCCUAAGUAGCGGCGAGCGAACGGGGAACAGCCCAAACCAAAGUGCUUGCACUUUGGGGUUGUAGGACUGAACAUUUGAGUUACCAAAGAACUUGAUAGUCGAAGGAUUUGGGAAAAUCCGCCAUAGAUGGUGAUAGCCCAGUAGAUUAAAUCAAAUUCUCUCAGUUCAGGAUCCUGAGUACGGCGGAACACGUGAAAUUCCGUCGGAAUCCGGGAGGACCAUCUCCCAAGGCUAAAUACUACCUAGUGACCGAUAGUGAACCAGUACCGUGAGGGAAAGGUGAAAAGCACCCCGGGAGGGGAGUGAAAUAGUUCCUGAAACCAUGUGCCUACAAUAAGUCAGAGCGCGUUAAUGCGUGAUGGCGUGCCUUUUGUAGAAUGAACCGGCGAGUUAUGAUCCCGUGCAAGGUUAAGACUAAAAAGUCGGAGCCGUAGCGAAAGCGAGUCUGAAAUGGGCGUUUUGAGUACGAGGUUAUAGACCCGAAACCAGGUGACCUAUCCAUGUCCAGGUUGAAGGUGCGGUAAAACGCACUGGAGGACCGAACCCGUGUAAGUUGAAAAUUGCUGGGAUGAGGUGUGGAUAGCGGUGAAAUUCCAAACGAACUUGGAGAUAGCUGGUUCUCUCCGAAAUAGCUUUAGGGCUAGCCUCGGAAUUAGGAUCAUGGAGGUAGAGCACUAUUUGGACUAGGGGCCCGUCUUGGGUUACUGAAUUCAGAUAAACUCCGAAUGCCAUUGAUUCAUAUCCGGGAGUCAGACGAUGAGUGAUAAGAUCCACCGUCGAAAGGGGAACAGCCCAGACCAUCAGUUAAGGUCCCUAAAUGUAUGCUAAGUGGAAAAGGAUGUGGAGUUGCAUAGACAACUAGGAUGUUGGCUCAGAAGCAGCCACCAUUUAAAGAGUGCGUAAUAGCUCACUAGUCGAGUGAUCCUGCGCCGAAAAUGUACCGGGGCUAAGCAUACUACCGAAACCAUGGAUG
rnacentral:rRNA from 2 species